CCAGACUCCUACGGGAGGCAGCAGUGGGGAAUAUUGCGCAAUGGGGGAAACCCUGACGCAGCAACGCCGCGUGAAGGAAGAAGGCUUUCGGGUUGUAAACUUCUUUUAAGAGGGACGAAACAAAUGACGGUACCUCUUGAAUAAGCCACGGCUAACUACGUGCCAGCAGCCGCGGUAAUACGUAGGUGGCAAGCGUUAUCCGGAUUUAUUGGGUGUAAAGGGCGUGUAGGCGGGAAAGCAAGUCAGAUGUGAAAACUAUGGGCUCAACCCAUAGCCUGCAUUUGAAACUGUUUUUCUUGAGUGCUGGAGAGGCAAUCGGAAUUCCGUGUGUAGCGGUGAAAUGCGUAGAUAUACGGAGGAACACCAGUGGCGAAGGCGGAUUGCUGGACAGUAACUGACGCUGAGGCGCGAAAGCGUGGGGAGCAAACAGGAUUAGAUACCCCAGUA
rnacentral:rRNA from 1 species